GACAUGAGACAAUCCACAAAGCAAUUGAUCAGUCGUAAGACCAUGUAUGGGGGCUGACGCCUGCCCAGUGCCGGAAGGUCAAGGAAGUUGAUGAACUGAUGACAGGGAAGCCGGCGACCGAAGCCCCGGUGAACGGCGGCCGUAACUAUAACGGUCCUAAGGUAGCGAAAUUCCUUGUUCUUAAUGUUAGUUGAGUC
rnacentral:ncRNA from 1 species